rnacentral:rRNA from 1 species
UACGGAGGGGGCUAGCGUUGUUCGGAAUUACUGGGCGUAAAGCGCACGUAGGCGGCUUUGUAAGUUAGAGGUGAAAGCCCGGGGCUCAACUCCGGAAUUGCCUUUAAGACUGCAUCGCUAGAAUUGUGGAGAGGUAAGUGGAAUUCCGAGUGUAGAGGUGAAAUUCGUAGAUAUCUGGAGGAACACCGGUGGCGAAGGCGGCAUCCUGGACCGGCAUUGACGCUGAGGCGCGAAAGCCAGGGGAGCAAACGGG